CGUGUAGGCGGUCGGUCAAGUCUGAUGUGAAAGCCCGGGGCUCAGCUCCGGAAGUGCAUUGGAAACUAGCCGACUGGAGCGCGAUAGAGGAGGGUGGAAUUCCUGGUGUAGCGGUGAAAUGCGUAGAUAUCAGGAGGAACACCGGCGGCGAAGGCGGCCCUCUGGAUCGUUGCUGACGCUGAGACGCGACAGCGUGGGGAGCAAACAGAAUUAGAUACCCUGGUAGUCCACGCCGUAAACUAUGGGUACUAGGUGUUCGGGGUGUUGACCCCCUGAGUGCCGCAGCUAACGCAUUAAGUACCCCGCCUGGGGACUACGGCCGCAAGGUUAAA
rnacentral:rRNA from 1 species